UUAGAGUUAAGGUGGCUUGAGCACACCUCAACAUGGCCUGAGGACUUUGAAUUUUUACAAAUGAAUCUCAUGCCUUGAAUUUGUGGAUUAUUGUGGAUUGUUAAGUAUGGAUGUGUAUGAGAUGACAUGUGUGGUAUGUGUACUCAUGGAGUAGGGCUUAAGAAGGUGAAGUGGGGUUGGGUAAAUUUGCGGGUAUGACAG
rnacentral:lncRNA from 1 species